GAGAUCAAUUGUUCGUGCAUUGUGAUGACACACGGCAGAUGACUCACUCAGUAGGAACAAGGCUCAGUAUGAACUUGGCCAGCAAACAGCUAAGGUGUCUCUCAGGUACUGCUAAAGAAGAGAUCGUUCGAGGACCUAUUACAGCGUUCAUUAGUGGCAUAGUCGAACAGAAACUGGAAAAAUAAAAUGGGUACCUGCGUCGUCAAACUUGUGUUAAUAACCUGUCUUCUUUGUCUACUCAGCACAGACACAGAUUCCAAACAAUUAGCGAAACGAUCUCUUGAAUCGUGCCGUCCCCGACGCAUGUUCAUACAAUGGAAGAAGGUCCGACAUUACCUGAAUAAAUACCGCCGAGCAGCAAUACCAGGGACAAUGGAAGCAGGUGACUUGAAAGUCAUGCGAUGCAGAUGCUUUCUAAGCAGAUGUACAUCAGCGGAUAAAGCUUAUUGUGGCGUCGACACCGAAAGAAUACAGCGAAGAAACCUAACCGUCGUGAACGAGAGAAAAGACAAAUGGGUCCUUACCCUAGAUUUUCGUCGAAGAUAAAAGCUGUCGAUGUAUGAAUGAGAGUGAAUACGAUAAAAUUGUACACGGCGAUGUUGCCGGUGUUCCCUUUUCAUUCAGUCACACGUGGACCAAAAAAGAACAGAAAAAUAGAACGUGAAGAAAGAAGAAAGUGGACCAGUCAGGAAGAAAUAAAGAAAAAAAUCAAAGAAAAUAGAAAAAAAGGGCAAAGAAAAAUGUACUGAGGUUUACUGCGAGCCAAUGGAGAGAAAGAUUGAGUAAGUGAAUGAAGGAUACAGUACAUCAAAAUCUCGUUUUCCUUCAGUCUUCCUUUCCACAAAAUUCAUUGAUACCCAUUAACAACUUUCUGAAAUAUCCAGACAGACAGACAGACAGACAGACAGACAGACAGACAGACAGACAGACAACUGAAAAGAAAAAGAGGUCAUGAAGGGUGCGGCGACCUGACUGGUAUUUGGAGAUAUUGCACUAUUAGUUCCGCCAAUGUAAACUGACCCUCAACAUAAUAUGUUUGUUAAUCUAAAAUACCUACUGUAUGUCAGUAUUACCCAAUGGGAAAACUGUUAUAGAAGUGGUAAAAAGGUUAGCAUAAGUGUAACGGAUGGACCACUGUAGUAUUUUGCGAUUGGUGGGUCAUGUGGAAAAAACGGACGACGAUUGGUUGGUGGACAAAAGUGUAGACUCCAGAAAUGUUCAGAGGAUGACGUGGAAGUGGGCCUAACCAUAGUAUACAAGACUUAUAAAAUAAAGAUUUUUUUUUCUCUCCGUAAAACAAGUUCCUAUUAGUUUGUAGAAUUAGAUUUUGUAUCAUCUAAUAUAUAUAUAUAUAUAUAUAUAUAUAUAUAUAUAUAUAUAUAUAUAUAUAU